CAGCUGGGCCGGACGGCCGCUCGAUGCGUCUUUCGGGACGUGACGGGAGGAAAGUCCGAACUCCAGAGAGCAGUGUGCCGGAUAACGUCCGGGAAGCUGGUUUCAAAGCCGGCUGACGGAAAGUGCCACAGAAAACAUACCGCCCGCAAGGGUAAGGGUGAAAAGGUGCGGUAAGAGCGCACCGCCGCUCCAGUAAUGGGACGGGCAGGGCAAACCCCACACGGAGCAAGACCAAAUAGGAAGGGAGUCCCGCCGUCGCUGCGAGUUUAGCCGCGAGCGAUGAGUAACGAGUGAUGAGCCCGCCAUGGAAUCAUGGUUGCUCGCAACUCUCCGCUCACAGCUCAUUUGCUAAAUCAGCAGCGACGGUGGGACGCGUGCCUGCUCGGUGCGCAAAACCUUCGGGUAGGUCGCUAGAGCUGCGCAGUAAUGCGCGG
rnacentral:RNase_P_RNA from 1 species